rnacentral:lncRNA from 1 species
CUUUGAACUUGAUGAAGAAGCUUUGGAGCAGAUAUUGCUACAGGAGCACAUACGAGAUCUUAACAUAGUAGUGGUAUCUGUGGCAGGAGCUUUUCGUAAAGGGAAGUCAUUUCUACUGGACUUCAUGCUUAGAUACAUGUAUAACAAGGAUUCUCAAAGUUGGAUUGGUGGAAACAAUGAACCAUUGACAGGCUUUACAUGGCGAGGUGGCUGUGAAAGAGAAACAACAGGCAUACAAGUUUGGAAUGAAGUAUUUGUGAUUGACAGACCUAAUGGAACUAAAGUUGCUGUGCUGCUUAUGGAUACCCAGGGUGCCUUUGAUAGCCAGUCAACUAUCAAAGACUGUGCAACGGUGUUUGCUCUGAGCACUAUGACUAGCUCUGUCCAGGUGAGACACAAGAUUAAGUGGUGCGAUCAGUUCACGUAAUCAUUUGGCCCCUUUUUUUUUUCUUUUUUGAGACAGAGUUUCACUCUUGUUGCCCAGGCUGGAGUACAGUGGCGUGAUCUCGGCUCACUGCAACCUCUGCCUCCUGGGUUCAUUCUCCUAACCCGAGUAGCUGAGAUUACAGGCCCCCGCCACCAUGCCCAGCUAAUUUU